GACGAACGCUGGCGGCGUGCCUAACACAUGCAAGUCGAGCGAUGAAGUUUCCUUCGGGAAAUGGAUUAGCGGCGGACGGGUGAGUAACACGUGGGUAACCUGCCUUAUAGUGGGGGAUAGCCUUUCGAAAGGAAGAUUAAUACCGCAUAAGACUGUAGUAUCGCAUGAUAUAGCAAUUAAAGGAGCAAUUCGCUAUAAGAUGGACCCGCGUCUGAUUAGCUAGUUGGUGGGGUAACGGCUCACCAAGGCGACGAUCAGUAGCCGGCCUGAGAGGAUGAACGGCCACAUUGGGACUGAGAUACGGCCCAGA
rnacentral:rRNA from 1 species